rnacentral:rRNA from 1 species
CGAAGGGGCUAGCGUUGCUCGGAAUUACUGGGCGGUAAAGGGACGCGUAGGCGGCACUGUUAGUCAGGCGUGAAAGUACCUGGGCUCAACCUGGGAACGUGCGCUUGAUACGGCAGAGCUAGAGGAUGGAAGAGGGUCGCGGAAUUCCCAGUGUAGAGGUGAAUUCGUAGAUAUUGGGAAGAACACCGGUGGCGAAGGCGGCGACCUGGUCCAUUACUGACGCUGAGGCGCGACAGCGUGGGGAGCAAACAGGAUU